rnacentral:tRNA from 1 species
GUGGGUACAGCUCAGUGGUAGAGCUGCAUGCUUAGCAUGCACAAGGUCCUGGGUUCAAUCCCCAGUAGCUACA